CGAUAACCACUCCGGCACGUCCACUUUUU
rnacentral:sRNA from 1 species